ensembl:lncRNA LINC01333 long intergenic non-protein coding RNA 1333
AGCCACCUCAGUUCUCUUUUACUGCCCUAUCCUUUCGCCGGGUUUCUCCUUUCAACCUUGAGAGAUAACUGACAUGGGCUUAGGAUACUCAGUCAUUCUGGAAUUCUGUAUCAGCACUGAAACAUGAGUGGGGAAAUUCUAAGAAAUUUACUUCUCUUUUUCUUUUCAUAUUUUCCUCAUUCCAAAGUGGAACUAAAUCGAGGUUCCCUAGCAACCCAGGGCUCUGUGAAGAUUCAUUAUUCUAUAAAAUCCCACCACCUUACAAACACAAAAUGUUACAAGUUGCCCAGUCACCCCGGCUUCUGAGAUGAAGAAUAUUAUUGAAGUCAAAUCUGGUGGCUAUCACACUCCAUGGAACUUGGGGCAACAUUUAGGUACCUCUACCCAGGAAAGAAUCUCUGAGAAAUAGGUGGCAGUUUCUCUAGCAGCAUAAGAAGAACCUUGAUAAGCAUCAUCCUUAAGUCCUGACAGCAGUGGAUGACUAGUCAGGAACCUGUCCAGAUAAUGAUUGAUACACCUCCCAUGCCCCACCUCUCACCCAGGACAGGAUCGAAGUGUUGGGGGAGCCACAACCUGCUUCACCUAGAAAGAGGACAUUGACAUGGAUCUGCCAGCUUUCUAAGACUUUCCCCAGAUUCAAGUCCAGUCACAUCAAGUUGCCUUAUUAAAGGGUCUGCCCACUCAAAAGGAGAAAGUGCAAAAGAUGCUCAGCAAGGAAUAUCCAGCACAAUAAGCAUUGAAGAAACAAAUGGCAACGCAAGCUUAAAGAAUUCCAAGCCAUUAUGAACUGACUCUUCAAAUAAGUGCUUAUUUUCACAUAACCAGGGAGUUUCUGGAUUAACUUCCAUAUAAGACAUAUUUAUUAAAAGAUUUGCACCCCUAUUGCUGGCACUGGGUGGACCUCCCCAAACGCUCUGCCCUUGGUGCUCUUCUGCCGGUUAUUCUCGUCCAUGACCCCAGAGCCAGGGAGAAUCUCACCAGUGCAGCCCAGGGCACUUCUGAUAACAUCUGAGCAGAGUGAAGGAGAAGAAACGCACGAGGCAGGCAUCUCAUUUAUGGAAGUGCUCCUCUGGGUCAAGCCCUCUGCCAAUAAUUUUCAUGCAUAAUGGCCCUUUCAUUCUCCCCAAAAAUUCUUCAAGGGAGGGUGAUAAUCCCAGGAUAUGGAAACAAGGAAAAGCAGACUACAAGAAGUUAAGUGACCUCCCCAAUGACCCGCUGCUCAUAAAUGGUAGUAUCAGAAUUAAAACCCAGAUGAGGCUGCC